GCCAGCCCGCUCAGAAACUUAAAGGAAUUGACGGGGCCCGCACAAGCGGAGGAGCAUGUGGUUUAAUUCGAUGAUACGCGAGGAACCUUACCUGGGCUCGAACGUAAGAUGACUGUAGGUGAAAGCUUACAUCUCUUCGGAGCAUUUUACGAGGUGCUGCAUGGUUGUCGUCAGCUCGUGCCGUGAGGUGUCGGGUUAAGUCCCAUAACGAGCGCAACCCUACCUUUAGUUGCCAUCAGGUAAUGCUGGGGACUCUAAAGGAACUGCCUACGCAAGUAGUGAGGAAGGCGGGGAUGACGUCAAAUCAGCACGGCCCUUACGUCCAGGGCUACACACGUGCUACAAUGGCCGAUACAGAGGGCAGCUACCUGGUGACAGGAUGCAAAUCUCCAAAGUCGGUCUCAGUUCGGAUCGGAGUCUGCAACCCGACUCCGUGAAGUUGGAUUCGCUAGUAAUCGCGCAUCAGCCAUGGCGCGGUGAAUACGUUCCCGGGCCUU
rnacentral:rRNA from 1 species